CCUACGGGUGGCAGCAGUGGGGAAUAUUGCACAAUGGGGGAAACCCUGAUGCAGCGACGCCGCGUGAGUGAAGAAGUAUUUCGGUAUGUAAAGCUCUAUCAGCAGGGAAGAAAGUGACAGUACCUGAUUAAGAAGCCCCGGCUAACUACGUGCCAGCAGCCGCGGUAAUACGUAGGGGGCAAGCGUUAUCCGGAUUUACUGGGUGUAAAGGGAGCGUAGGCGGCUGGACAAGUCUGUGGUGAAAUCCCGGGGCUUAACCCCGGGACUGCUUUGGAAACUGUGCAGCUAGAGUGUAGGAGAGGUAAGUGGAAUUCCUGGUGUAGCGGUGAAAUGCGUAGAUAUUAGGAGGAACACCAGUGGCGAAGGCGGCUUACUGGACGGUAACUGACGUUGAGGCUCGAAAGCGUGGGGAGCAAACAGGAUUAGAUACCCGUGUAGUC
rnacentral:rRNA from 1 species